rnacentral:rRNA from 1 species
UGAGAAUUAUGUUAGUGGCGAACGGGUGAGUAACGCGUGGGUAACCUGCCCCAUACCGGGGGAUAACGGUUAGAAAUGACCGCUAAUACCGCUUAAGCGCGCGAGGCCGCAUGGCCGUGCGCGAAAAACUCCGGUGGUAUGGGAUGGGCCCGCGUCUGAUUAGGUAGUUGGCGGGGUAAGGGCCCACCAAGCCGACGAUCAGUAGCCGACCUGAGAGGGUGGACGGCCACACUGGGACUGAGACACGGCCCAGACUCCUACGGGAGGCAGCAG